rnacentral:piRNA from 1 species
UGACCUACGUGAUGCACACUGCGCAC